AUGGCAAUAGAAAUCAGGACACAUAAUCACACUAGGACACAACAAUUUUUCCACAAUAAUCCUCCAAUAAUACAUACAAGAAUAAAUAAGAGCAUGUAAAUUUCAACCACUGCACCAACCUAUUAAUACUUGUAAAGGUUGGACUGGACUCCAAGAUCAGGUCUCCACCACUGGUGAAUUCCGUGGGCUUCCUUGAAAUCUUGAGAUGGAAUCAAAUUGACCGUCAGAUUUGCUGAAGGAAUGAGGUGGAGUGGCUCUGAUUCCUUGCCCAUUGC
rnacentral:misc_RNA from 1 species